rnacentral:rRNA from 1 species
GACGAACGCUGGCGGCAUGCUUAACACAUGCAAGUCGAACGGAAAGGCCCUGCUUUUGUGGGGUGCUCGAGUGGCGAACGGGUGAGUAACACGUGAGUAACCUGCCCUUGACUUUGGGAUAACUUCAGGAAACUGGGGCUAAUACCGGAUAGGAGCUCCUGCUGCAUGGUGGGGGUUGGAAAGUUUCGGCGGUUGGGGAUGGACUCGCGGCUUAUCAGCUUGUUGGUGGGGUAGUGGCUUACCAAGGCUUUGACGGGUAGCCGGCCUGAGAGGGUGACCGGCCACAUUGGGACUGAGAUACGGCCCAGACUCCUACGGGAGGCAGCAGUGGGGAAUAUUGCACAAUGGGCGGAAGCCUGAUGCAGCAACGCCGCGUGCGGGAUGACGGCCUUCGGGUUGAAAACCGCUUUCGCCUGUGACGAAGCGUGAGUGACGGUAAUGGGUAAAGAAGCACCGGCUAACUACGUG